rnacentral:rRNA from 1 species
UGAUCCUACGGGGGGCAGCAGUGGGGAAUAUUGCACAAUGGGGGAAACCCUGAUGCAGCGACGCCGCGUGAGUGAAGAAGCACUCCGGCGCGUAAAGCCCUGUCAGCAGGGAAGAAAAUGACAGUACCUGACCAAGAAGCCCCGGCUAACUACGUGCCAGCAGCCGCGGUAAUACGUAGGGGGCAAGCGUUAUCCGGAUUUACUGGGUGUAAAGGGAGCGCAGGCGGUAUGGCAAGUCAGAUGUGAAAACCCAGGGCCCAACCCUGGGACUGCAUUUGAAACUGCCAUACUGGAGUGCCGGAGAG